CGAUUUUAUUUUGUGGUAACCCACUGAGCCCCUUCUUUUCAUUUUUUCCUUCUUUUCACUUUUUUGGCAGAAGUGGAGUUUGAAUCCAUGGCUUGAGUGUACCAGGCAAGCGCGGCGAGUGCCCUCAGCUCUACCCCCAGGCCCAGCCCGUUUUUAUCAAGGCGUAGCCGUUUUUGACAGGAUCCUGGGAAGGGUCUCCAGGCCCUUGUGCGCAAAGAACAAAGAAUUCGGGAGAUGCAGUGCGCAGGCGUGAACCCUCUGCGAACUACAAGAAGAGCCUUCUAUACACAGUCCUGCCAGAGCAUUUGGUGCGUAAGUGUCUCUGUGCAGCAGCUGACCUUCUUUGUGGUGGGGCGGAGCAGGGUCUUUGUGUUUCUUCUCUCUGUCUGUGGGGAGUAGGCUUUAGGACAAAGGUCAGGAGGUUGGCCCUGGGGCAUUGCCCAGGUUGGGUGGUGGAGGGAAGUGGUCCUGUAGCCCUAGCUGUACCAUCUGUAUCAAAGGUCUACACUCGUGUGUGUGUGUGUGUGUGUGUGUGUGUGUGUGUGUGUAUGUUCUUUUCAUUUUUUUUUUUUUUUUGAAACAAGGUCAUGCUAAAUUCCCAGGCCGGGCUCACACUUGCAAGCCCCUUGCUGUGUAGCCAAGUUGGCCUCGAACUCUUCUCAUUCUCCUGACUCAGCCUCUCGAGUGCUGGGGUUAUAUGUGUGUGCCAUGAUGCCCUGUCUUAAAUUUCCCUCGUGUUCAAUUUUCACACUGAGCCACAUCCCAGCCCUUUAAAAAAAAUUUUUUUUGAGACAAAGUCUUGCUAUGUACUCCAGGCUGGCCUUGUACUUGCCUCCAUCCUCCUACCUCAGCCUCCUGGAUGCUGGGAUUAUAAGUAUGCACCAUCAUAGCUGAUUCCUAGCCCUUUUUUAGUUUUUAUUUUCAGAUAGCGUCUCAUUAAGUUGCCUGGUUGUUUGUUGUUUGUUUGGAGACAGUGUCUGGUUAUUGUAAGGUCAGACCAAGGCAAAGUCUAAGCAACAUUCAGUGAGUUUAUUGUCAUCUGGGUGCAGAUAGGCCAAGGGUGAGAAGGCCCUUGGCACUGAGAGGAGGGUGCCGUGGUUCAUAUGAGGCAUUUCAGGGGCGAGGACACUGGUCCAGAGGGUGGAAAAUUUUAGAGUCCCAUGGGCAAUGGGCCUGGGGCUGGCUGACACACAGGGUGAUGGUGAGGGCAGCAGGGUGCUGCUGGCUUCUUGUUUUCUCUGUGCUCCUGUGGAUUUGGGGAGCGGGCCUGCUUGGGCAGGAGUCUGACUUGGGGGACCUGUCAGUUAUGUAGUCCAGGCUGGCCUUGAACUGGCUGUGUAGUCUAGGCUGAUCUCUAACUUGCAGUGAUCCUCCUGCCUCAGCCUUCCAAGUACUAGGACAGGCAUGUACCCCAAAUCCCAGGCCCAGGCUGUUUGGACUUGCAGUCCUCCUGCCUCAGCUUCCCAAAGUAUUGCCAAAUGGAGGGACUCAUGGAGGGCUUCUCACUAGGUUUGUCCUCAACAAAUGAUUGGACAAGACAUACAGAAAAGGUAAGGACGUUGUAUAUUUACUGAAAGCCCAAAAGAGGAAAGUUCUAAAGGGUAGGAGUGAAGUAGUGAACACAGCAGCCCUGAGGAUUAGGGAAAGGGGUCUUUUGUAUCCAAAAUUCUUGGAUUGGCUCAAAACAUACAACACACGUGCACACAAAUGCAUGGGUGUCACACAGUGAUGUGUCAUGAUGCACAUCUGUAAUCCCAGCCCUGGGGAGACUGAGGCAGGAGGAUCACCACAAAUUCGAGGCCAGCCUGGGCUACAUAGCUAGUUCAAGGCAAGCCUGGAUGAGACCAUGUCUCAAAACAACAACAUCAAAACAAAAAACACGUAAGCCAGGUGUGGUGGUGCACACCUGUGAUCCUAGUUCUCGGGAGGCCAAGGCAGGAGGACCAGUGUAAGUUGGAGGCCAGCCUGGGCUACAUA
rnacentral:lncRNA from 1 species